UUGCAGGCUGAAACUCGCCUGCAUGAAGUCGGAAUUGCUAGUAAUCGCAGAUCAGCAUGCUGCGGUGAAUACGUUCCCGGGCCUUGUACACACCGCCCGUCACACCAUGGGAGUCGGUAACACCCGAAGCCUGUAGUCUAACCGCAAGGAGGACGCAGUCGAAGGUGGGAUUGAUGACUGGGGUGAAGUCGUAACAAGGUAGC
rnacentral:rRNA from 1 species